AUUCCCCUAGUAACUGCGAGUGAAGCGGGAAAAGCUCAAAUUUAAAAUCUGGUGGCCUCUGGUCGCUCGAGUUGUAAUUUAGAGAAGCGUCUUCCGCGCUGGACCGUGCACAAGUCUCCUGGAAUGGAGCGUCAUAGAGGGUGAGAAUCCCGUCUUUGGCACGGACGCACCAGGGCUUUUGUGAUGCGCUCUCGAAGAGUCGAGUUGUUUGGGAAUGCAGCUCAAAAUGGGUGGUGAACUCCAUCUAAAGCUAAAUAUUGGCGAGAGACCGAUAGCGAACAAGUACCGUGAGGGAAAGAUGAAAAGCACUUUGGAAAGAGAGUGAAACAGUACGUGAAAUUGUUGAAAGGGAAACGCUUAAAGUCAGUCGCGUCGACCGAGACUCAACCUCGCCUUGGCUUGGUGUACUUCUCGGCCGACGGGUCAGCAUCAAUUUUUCCCUUCGGAUAAUGGCAAGGGAAAGGUAGCACCUUUACGGGUGUGUUAUAGUCUCCUGUCGCAUGCGAGGGGUAGGAUUGAGGAACUCAGCACGCGCCUCUUGGUGUCGGGGCCUUGUUGCCCACGCUACGUGCUUAGGAUGCUGGCGUAAUGGCUUUAAACGACCCGUCUUGAAACACGGACCAAGGAGUCUAACAUGCCCGCGAGUGUUCGGGUGGAAAACCCGUGCGCGUAAUGAAAGUGAAAGUUGGGACCUCUGUCGUGGAGGGCACCGACGCCCGGACCAGACCUUCUGUGACGGAUCUGCGGUAGAGCGUGCAUGUUGGGACCCGAAAGAUGGUGAACUAUGCCUGAAUAGGGUGAAGCCAGAGGAAACUCUGGUGGAGGCUCGUAGCGAUUCUGACGUGCAAAUCGAUCGUCAAAUUUGGGUAUA
rnacentral:rRNA from 1 species